GCCGGCUAUACUGCAGGGAGCAGGCAGUUAUCGCACACGCGUGCAUCCUCAGAGCCAGGAUAAACACUCCGUUACUCUCCCUCUAAACUGCUCUUCUGGGAGGGAGAGAAAAUAAAUAGGGAGCGAGAGAGGCAUUUGAAGUAACCUUUCUAAGAAGGAGGCAGCAGCCAAUAGAACCUUUCUUUCUUUUUUUUUUUUUCUUUUUUUUUUCCCACUUCUUACUAGAGAAAUUCGUGUUACCUCAGCAAUUAAGGAGAAGAGCCAGCAUCUAGGGUUCCAGGCUGUGAGGGGGAGUAGCAACUUGUACCAGCAGCAUAUUCCUGCCACAGUCUUCAGCUGAGCUUCAGGAGCUGGAGAGAGGCUUCAAUGAGUCUUCACAAAGGGAAGAAUUUUCAAAUUAAUAAUUAGGAGUGUUCAGUUCUGCCUGUCUCCACCUGGAUGUUUGUCUGCGUGGGCAUUGGGCAUGAUAAAAGAAAACGCCAGCAACCUGGUAGGGAUAUGGAUGAGAUGGAGUUUGGCUUUUCAUAGAUACUGACUUCUUGCCCUGCAAUGUGGAUUUGAGGUUCCAAUUAAAUCCGUGUUUGGGCCAUUGCUUUGCCUGCCAGUACUUAAUCUUUUUCGAAGGCCUCAUCACUUAUCUAAUACAAAAGAACGAGGAUCCCCAGGUGCCCCUGCUGCCCUGCCUCGCCUCUGCACUGUACAAACACAUGAUCCUCUGCACCCACGUGCAGAACUUUGUGCUACUCCCGCUGAACUUCCUGAGGGUCCUGUGAUCCCAGGGCUGUGCAUGGACCAUCCACCUCCACUUGGUAUUCUUCACAAACUCGCCAAGUGUACACUUUUCCCACUCUUCAAGCUGUUAAUAAAGGCAUUCUAUGUUCUCCUGACAUCAAUGUGCAAUAGAAGAUAAAGAAUCUGACAGCUAUCCAUGUGGACGGAUGGAUUAAUGGUUGAUUGCUGUGUGUUCUUGUUUUUCCAAAAGGAACCAUAUGAAUUGACAGUAUUUUAAAGGAUUAAAAACAUUCUUAUUGAAUCUUGA